UACAGAGGUGGCAAGCGUUGUUCGGAAUUACUGGGCGUAAAGGGCGCGUAGGUGGCCCACUAAGUCAGACGUGAAAUCCCCCGGCUUAACCUGGGAACUGCGUCUGAUACUGGAGGGCUUGAGUAUGGGAGAGGGAUGUAGAAUUCCAGGUGUAGCGGUGAAAUGCGUAGAUAUCUGGAGGAAUACCGGUGGCGAAGGCGGCAUCCUGGACCAUUACUGACGCUGAGGCACGAAGGUCAGGGGAGCAAACGGG
rnacentral:rRNA from 1 species